AGAAGUUGGACAAGAUCAUCUGUACGUGUUGGAUGAUUUAUUCCAUGGAUGGAUCUGCCAAUUGUUUAAGCAAUACUGUGAUAUGCGUAUCUAUUCUCAUCGAGAUGUAACAUCCCAUCUCAAGGCUGUGAUACAAGUUUCGGUGCUUAGAGCAACCAAUUUAUGUGGUUUUAUGAAGCUUUUAUCUCUGCAUACGCUCUGUGAGGUCAUUUACAAUGUUAUUAUGCUAAGACGUUGAAAUAAGAUGUACACCGCGAUUUUGCACAAUCUCUAUUUAUCUCGACUUGUAAUAUCUGUACUGAAAAAGACCGUCAUUAAAUCUCAAAACGUUUGUCUGA
rnacentral:lncRNA from 13 species